rnacentral:rRNA from 1 species
AUUGAACGCUGGCGGCAUGCUUUACACAUGCAAGUCGAACGGUAACAGGCCGCAAGGUGCUGACGAGUGGCGAACGGGUGAGUAAUGCAUCGGAACGUGCCCAGUCGUGGGGGAUAACUACUCGAAAGAGUAGCUAAUACCGCAUACGAUCUAUGGAUGAAAGCGGGGGACCGUAAGGCCUCGCGCGAUUGGAGUGGCCGAUGUCAGAUUAGGUAGUUGGUGGGGUAAAGGCUCACCAAGCCAACGAUCUGUAGCUGGUCUGAGAGGACGACCAGCCACACUGGGACUGAGACACGGCCCAGACUCCUACGGGAGGCAGCAGUGGGGAAUUUUGGACAAUGGGCGCAAGCCUGAUCCAGCAAUGCCGCGUGCAGGAAGAAGGCCUUCGGGUUGUAAACUGCUUUUGUACGGAACGAAACGGCUCUGGUUAAUACCCGGGGCUAAUGACGGUACCGUAAGAAUAAGCAUCGGCUAACUACGUG